GACGAACGCUGGCGGCGUGCUUAACACAUGCAAGUCGAACGGAGUGGCGAACGGGUGAGUAACACGUGGGUGAUCUGCCUUGCACUUCGGGAUAAGCUUGGGAAACUGGGUCUAAUACCGGCUAGGGCAAGAUGAGUGCGCGGCUUAUCGGCUUGUUGGGGGGGUGAUGGCCGACCAAGGCGUCGCCGGGUAGCCGGCAUGAGAGGGUGUACGGCCACAUUGGGACUGAGAUACGGCCCAGACUCCUACGUGAGGCAGCGGUGGGGAAUAUUGCACAAUGGGCGGAAGCCUGAUGCAGCGACGCCGCGUGGGGGAUGAAGGCCUUCGGGUUGUAAACUCCUUUCGACAGGGACGCGGUACCUGUAUAAGAAGCACCGGCUAACUACGUGCCAGCAGCCGCGGUAAUUC
rnacentral:rRNA from 1 species